CUGGAGAAUCACAAGUUCCUGACGUGAAAUAAAUAUUUGCAAUCUUUUGGGGCUUAAGAGCACAUCAUGACCGCCAUAGAGAUGGGUUGAAUCAACAAAACACCGUCACAGGAGGAAUGGCUAAUCACACGAUAUACACCAGGGGUGUCAACUCAUGGCCCAUGGGCUGGAUGUGUCAUGUGCUGGCCAAGCCCACUCCCGUUUUAGCGAAGGGAGAAAAGUCACAAUAUGUCACGUGAUGACAAUGUGACACCGCAAGUUUGACACUCCUGAUAUACACUGUAAACAUCACUAGUUUACAAGAGAAUGUGCUGGGAAGCAUUACUGCUGGUAGGAGUUAGGACUUAGGAUGCUCCUUUGCAGCUUACAUUUCUCUUUUUAUUUGUUAGAUUUACACCCAUCUUUCCUUCAGGAGUUCAAGACAGCAUACAUAACACUUCCUCAUCCAUUUUUAUUCCCACAACACACCAUGAAGUGAGAUGGAUUGUGAGAAAUUAACUACUCCAUAAUCAACUUGGGAGCUAGGGUAUGAGGGUGGCCUAGUACCCAGGUCUUCCCAUUCCUAAUUCCACAUCUUAUUCAGAACUCACAGUGCUUCCAUUUCUUUCAGAAUAGCUGGCGGUACUAUCAGAUAAAGCUUAGGCCGCAAUCCUCCUUAUUUUCUGAGA